GCCUGUGCAACUGACGUCACUGCCAGGCGCCCGGCGGCACGUUGGCCAGGUCUUCUGCAGGCUUUCCAGGGACAAAAAUGGCCAUGGCCAGCGGUUUUUACCUGCGCUACUACGUAGGGCACAAGGGGAAAUUUGGACACGAGUUUCUGGAGUUUGAGUUUCGACCGGACGGGAGAAACGUUGAAGACCGCUGAGAGCAGCAUGAGUAGAGGGCGAGGUGGAACUGCCUGCUGCCCAGGAAAGCUUAGAUAUGCCAACAACAGCAAUUACAAAAAUGAUGUCAUGAUCAGAAAAGAAAUCCUUAUUGAUUCUUUGGAUUUCCGUUUAGUAGGCACCAGGAGCUUGAAAUUGUAAUUGGAGAUGAACACAUUUCUUUUACCACAUCAAAAAUAGGUUCUCUUAUUAAUGUAAAUCAGUCAAAGUAAGUGUGUUAAAGCAGUUUGACUAAAUUGAUAAAAUUUAUUAUCUCUAAUAGAGUUAGAACUAUAGCCAGGUUUUAAGAUUAUUUCAAUGACACCCUAUCAGUUUAUUAUGCAGCUGUAAUUUUGAUUCUUAUGUCAUUAAAGACUUGUUAUCAAAGAAGUUAGCAGUGUAUUUAAUUGAUUGCCAAAAAAUUCUUAAUCUGAAAACAUAAUAAUGCCCAAGUUUUAUUAGCUGCUUUUUUGGUAAAAAUCUGUAAACAGUGUCACAAAAUUUAAAAGAAAUCCUUAUUGGGUUAUAUCAGCCUCAUUAGCCCCAUAUCACAUCAUUUUCCUCUAGUUCCAAUAAAUGGGAAAAAUCCAGUAGAGCUUAAGUAUGGUUUUAGCUACCUCAUCCUCCCAAGUUCUAGGUCCCUGUAGCACAUACCAUUGUCUUUGUGUGAAAAAUCUGUUUCCAGUUCUUUCUUUCUACUCUUUCCCCUUAAAAUGUCCUCACAGUGCUUUUUCCUAUCACUUUAAAUUGUAAUAACUUAUUUGUUUGCUUUGCUGGUUUGCAUGUGAGCUCCCUGAGAACCUUGCUGUGUCUCCAAAGUUAGCACAGUGCCUGGCUCACACUUAGGAGCUUUAUGAAUAUUUAUUAGAGGAAAGGAGAAAGGAAUGAAUGCCUCAUAACUGUUGGGUACAAAAGGCUGCGUUCAUAGAGACUGACCAGACAUUUUUAAACUAUCAAAUUUAUUUUCCGACAGUUGAUAAGAAUGUGGCAUUCAUACCCACUGGGAUUGUAAGUUGGUACAGUGUUUUUUGGAAAGCAAUUUGAUAAUAUGCUUUAAAAGCUGUUGAUAUUUUACUCACCUUUGCCCUAGUAAUUUCCUUUCUGAGCAUUUCUUCUGGGGAAAUAUUCUCAAAUAAUGAAAAAGCUGUUAUUCAUAAAGAUGGUCAUUGAAGCCUUAUUUAUAAUAGGAAAAAAAUCCAAAUGUCUAACAAGGAGAGAAUUGUUAAAUUAACUAAAAAUUAUUUGUGAAAUUUUUUAAUGUAAAGGAAAAUAAUGUUAAAAAGGGCACAGGGAAUUAUUUUAGUUAUUAAAAAAAAUAGAGCCACAUCAAAAUAUUUAUAGUUACUCCAUGUGGAGUGACAUAUAGUAUUAUGAGUAUUUUUUAUAUCUUUAUAAUUUUAUCUGAUUUAUACAUUUUUGUGAUACAUAGCUAUUACUUUUAUAAGAAAAUAAACACUAAAAUAUGAAAUGAAUACUGGAGAAGAAAAUUUAUAUUUCUUUCUUACAGAAAAGAUAGAGAUGGUAAUUGUUCAGUAUGUUCAUUGUAGUUACCAGCAUAUUCUCCCUUUCUCCUUGCUUCCUUUAAGUUAAUUUUUUAGGUUUUUGGUUUUUGUUUUGUUUUAGGAAUUAACUUACAAAAUUAUGUUGUUUCAUUCUAGAAACCAGAAAGUAACUCUUACCUUUUUAAAUUUUAGGGAUCCUGAAGGCCUUCGAGUAUUUUACUAUUUGGUACAGGACCUGAAAUGUUUAGUUUUUAGUCUUAUUGGAUUACAUUUCAAGAUUAAGCCAAUCUAAGUUGUAUGUUUUUUUUAACUGCUUUUAUGUUUAAUUAAGGGAUGGGUAAGGGAGGGCUUAUUUGUCAUUUACAAUACUGAGAUUUUUAUGAAUGUGAAGCAGACAAAUUUUUUUGGUAUGCAAACAAAGUAAGAAAAUACAUAAACAAGCUUGAUUGUUAUCCUCACCUGGGUCCAAGUGGGUUGGACAGUCCCCACACACAUUAAAUUCUGUAAAUAAAAGCCACUUUGCUUUGAAAUUGUGCUCCAAUAAAAUAUAUCAAAGCCUGG
ensembl:lncRNA